CACAACCUCAAAGGAGCCUUGUGGAGAUGGGAGCUUGGCUCCUCCUUGCUUUCUCUCUCCUCCUCACAAGAGGGUUUUCAGUGAGAGAAACACCACAGAGCUCUUGUCAUGCGAAACUCGAUGAGGACCACCACCAACAUCAAGCCAACGGCUCCACCAUCCACCUCACACUCCACCAUCCCCGCAGCCCCUGCUCUCCGGCACGCCACCCAGACCUACCAUUCUCCGAGGUCCUCCGCCACGACGAGUCCCGGGCCCACAUGCUCUCUUCCCGGAUAACGAAAUCCCACAACCACCUCGCCACUAGCUCAGUGUCUGUCCCCCUCAGCCCCGGCACCACCGUCGGCGUCGGCAACUAUAUCACAAAAAUCGGCCUCGGCACCCCUUCUGUCGACUACGUCAUGGUCGUCGACACCGGCAGCUCCCUCUCGUGGCUCCAGUGCUACCCAUGCAAAAUCUCCUGCCACGACCAAGUUGGAGCAAUCUUCGACCCCACCAAGUCAGCCACCUACAAGGCCGUCCAAUGCUCCGCAGCGGAGUGCAGCGGGCUUCAGUCGGCCACACUUAACCCUUCAGCCUGCACCAGCUCUAAUGUCUG
rnacentral:misc_RNA from 1 species